UGGGUACGCUAAGCCAUUAAUGUCCUCAUC
rnacentral:piRNA from 1 species